GCGUGUCUUUUCUAGGUCCACACCCAAGGCAUAUGGACAUUCCCAGGCUAGGGGUAUAAUCGGAGCUGUAACUGCCAGUCUAUGCACCACAGCCACAGCAAUGUGGAACCUGAGGUGAGUCUGUGACCUACACAACUCACGGCAACGCCAGAUCCUCAACCCACUAGCGAGGCCAGGGAUCAAACCCACAACCUCCUGGUUCCUAGACCGGAUUCAUUAACCACUGAGCCACGACAGGAACUCCCCUACUUUUUUUUCUUUUUAUGGUCACACCUGGGGCAAAUGGAAUUUCCUGGGAUAGGGGUCAAAUCAGAGCUGCAGCUGCCGGCCUAUGCCACAGCCAGAGCAAUGCUAGAUCUUUGCCGCAUCUGUGACCUAUGCCAUAGCCUGCAGCAAUGCCUAGAUCCUUAACCCACUGAACAAGGCCAGGGAUCAAACCCACAACCUCCUGGAACUCCCCUUCUUUUUUUUCUUUUUAUGGUCACACCUGUUGCAUAUGGAAGUUCCUGGGAUAGGGGUCAAAUCAGAGCUAUAGCCACCGGCCUACACCACAGCCACAGCAACUGGGGAUCCGAGCUGCAUCUGCAAGCUGUACCACAGCUCUCGGCAACGCCAGAUCCUUAGCCCACUGAGUAAGGCCAGGGAUCGAACCCGCAGCUUCAUGGUUCCUAGUCGGGUUCGUUAACCACUGAGCCACAACGGGAACUCCUGUGUUGGGUUCUUCAUCUGCUGAGCCACACAGGAAUUCCUGGAAGCAAUCUAAGUAUCCAUCAACAGGUGAGUGGAUAAAGAAGAUAUGGCAUAUAUAUAUGCCUAUAUAUAUGUAUAUACACACACCAGUGGAAUACUACUCAGCUAUACAAAAGAAUGAGAUUUUGUCAUUUGCAACAACAUGGAUGGACUUGGAAGGUAUUAUGCUAAGUGAAAUAAGUCAGACAGAGAAAGAUAAAUACUGUAUAAUAUCACAGAUGUGGAAUCUGAAAAAAGUACAACAAACUAGUGAAUAUAACCCCCAAAAAGCAGACUCACCAAAAUGGAGAACAAACAAGUGGUUUCUAAUGGGGCGAGGGAAAGGGGGAGGAGCAAGAUAGAAGCAGGGGAUUAAGAGAGACCAACUACUAUGUCUAAUAGCAGUUGGUGACAAGGACGUAUUGUACCACACGGGGGACAUCACGAGUAUUUAAAAACUGGGAAGCACUAGUUGUCACUUGAAACUUAGACAAUAUUGUACAUCAACUGUAUCUUGAUGAAACAAAGAGAGAGAGAUAGAGCUAAGUAGACAUUAGCUGUUCGUUUCACUAUUACUACCUGAAUGCACCCAGAGAAGAGCAGCAGAGGGUUAUGAAGGGUUAAAAAACAAAAGGUGGAAUCGCUUCCACUGAAGAGUUCCAGAAAGGCUUUAGAGCAGAGGCGUGCCUGCAGUGCUUUCAGAGCGUGGUGGUGCGGUGUGUUUGGGAAGAAUCCUAAUGGCUUCGCUAGGCUGAAACGGAAUGGUAAUUGAUUACUGAUGUCUGCUCUGGGCAAGGAAAGGAUCAUGCUGGCGUGCCUGCCCUCUUGGCCUAUGUUGUUCGUUUUAGGAUUCAGACCUGUCAGGGCACAUUCGGAAUUCUGGCAGGACAGGCCUGCCAAUAAUGUUUUGAAUUUUAAGGCCUAGGGGUUGUUUGGGAAGUAACGUAUCCUUAGGGAAGGCAUACAUCCUGGCUCAGGAACACUGCCUUAGUCAUCCGAAGGAAAUGAAAUUUUGACUGCAGCCUGGUGCCUGAUCUUCAUCAGAUCAUCCUUUGGCUCAGAUCCCAAGGAUCCAUGCCUAAUUCUGAGAGGAGGGGACAAGUAAAACUAACAGAGUUAUCUCAGGAAAAAUCUCAACAUGAUGCGGUGCUGCCAGAACCCCAUAAUGCAUGGGGGGGGUUCUCCUUGUCACAGCAGGGGGGGAGUGGGGGACACUGAGGUGGUCUGGGUGCUCUGUCAGAUGCUGUGAGGCCUCUCAGCAACACGAGGGGGCUCACAGUGGCUCCGCAGAGGGAAGAGUCUCUACAGCAUUCUCUGAGGACUCACCGGAAUAGUGAGGGGACUGGAGAGGGUCAGGGCCCGGAGGCCCCACCACCACGGGUGGGGAUGAAGCCUCGUGCAUAGUGACCCAAAGGUGAGCUGGGAGCCCUGAGAAUCGCAGGUCAUGGUUAGAGUGCCGCAUGGGAUGAGCGCUCUGAGCAAAGAGGAGGGAGGUAUCGCUGCCUGGGGAGGGGGCAGAGGGGCUGGAAGGUCCACAGAGACCAGGGUGGAGCCAGGUGAAGCUGUGGAUGGGAUCUUGAAAAGGAGGGACAUCCUGGACCAGGGGAGAUGCACGAGCUCAGGUGCUGAGGCACUAGAGGAAGGCCGGGGCAGGGAACGGCGUGGGUUUGGGUGGAGGGGGGUCAGGAGCCCUGAGCUGGGGGAUGCGGCUGGAAGGGGCAGGGAGUGGGGAAGGCAGACCAGAAGGAGCGUGAACGUGAAAAGCCAAGGACUCUGCUUUGGUCUUGGUUGAAUUCCCAGUUCUUAAGGACAGCGGCUUGCACGGGGGAAAGCUCCAUAAGAAACGAUUAAGUGAGAGGAUGGAUGGAUGGAUGGAAGGAAGAAAUCGGGAUUGAAGGGGGGGAUCGACGCUCCCCUUCCUUUUAUUGAGAGCCAAAUGGGAAGGAAACCCUGGUUGGGCUUUUAAAGGAAAGGAGACCUGACAAGCAAGAUGAUGAGCAAAUACAGCAGAGAAGAAGGGUGUGUGUGUGCAGGCACGCACGCACAUAAAGCAAAAGCGGAAGAGACAGGUGGUGUUCUCAGCCCCGAGCCUCAAAAAAGUACCUCUAGGUUUAAAAGAAAAAGGGAAAGAAAAGCGCUGGAGCCCCUCUUCCCCUGGAUUGAAGCGAACCGCACAAAGCAAAGGGAUGAUUAGAGCCUUCCCAGGAUGCAAUGCAACUUCCUCCAGGCGCCAAGGGGGAAGGACCCCUCUUAACCUGGUCCCCGGUGCUCCCUUCUCAGCCUCCUCGGCUCAAAGGGACGUGGCUGGGGGAUGCGCAGGCCAGGUUGCCCUGCGCAGCGGGGAUGCCGCCGCGAAUGAGCCACCUCUCCUUGUUCUCGCCUCGGUGCCCGUCUUUGAAGCCUUGCUGAGAAGGAGGAAAACGGGGCCAAAGCUGAGAUGAAAGCGCCUGUAAUCUCAUAAAAGAGCCAGGCGGAGGCUCUGAAAGGCACAGAGGAGCCGGCACCUGCCAUUUGCACUUCAAGGCAGGCGGUUUGAAACCCACCAGGGCAAGAGGCCUGGCUGUCCUUUCCCGCCAGGGCCCGGGCUUGGGCUCGGGUGAGCGACGGCUGGGGACCAGAGCCUGCUGGUCGGUCAGUGGCCUGUCCCAUGGGCUGCAGGGGGACGAGGAGGAGAGGCAGGCCAACCACUGAGUCCCUGCCGGAAAUCCACAUUCAGCAGAGCUGGAGACUUAAAAAUCGAAGACCUCCUCUCCUUGCCGGGUGCAGUCGAUAGCUAUUGCCGUCUUUGGUCUUCGGACCACCGCACAAUGGGGAAAAGUACCCACUGCCCCAAACGGCCCUUUCCCAAGGCCAUCACAGAGUGAGAGCCUGCCGGAAUUGAGAAAAGAAUGUCUGCUUUAGAUGGCACAGGAACGGAGCCACGAAUGGAGCAGAAAGCUUUUGUUUGCUCCUCUGAGAAAGUCUGCAACCCUGCUCGAACCCAAGGCCUGGAUGGGGUCCUGUUAACCACCCAUAACUGGGAGCGGGAAUGUUUUCUUGCCGCAUAGAGCCAAGAAAGCAAAGGGAGGAAGAGAUGGGUGACUUUCCCAGCAAAAUCCCUACGUGAUCCGUACGGGAUUUCGGACAAAUUUCUUGAAAGUUAUUCCCUAUUUUCCAUAAAACUGAAAGGCAUGCUCAGGGAAACCUCCACGUUUGAGGACAGCACGUUGUCCUUUCAGGUUGUGAAUCACCAGGAUGGCGGGAGAGGCCACGGAGGCAGAGGGAAGCGGGAGGAGGGCUGCGUUCGGGGGUAUGCGUCCUCACGGCCUGACUCGGCCACCUUCAUAGGAUGGCGGGCUCUUGGUUGUCACGGUGAUGCUGGCGAGGCAGCCGUGUGUAGAGAGUCCCUGAAGAGGAGUCGGGAGACCUGAGUGCCCCUCCCGAUCCCAUUCCUGACGGACGUCCCUGCAUUACUUAGAAAGCACGGGGAUUGGACAGAAUGAGCCUCAGGCUCCGGCUCUGGCCCCCUGGGCUCUGUGAUGCCAGCUGGCUGGACCUAGAGGUGAAGGAACAGCGUCACGGAGGCGUGGCAAGAAGUGGGGGAGGGGGGCUGUCCAGAAGAUGCACAGUCAUGGCUGCAAGGAACGAGGCCCGGCGGACACAGCCUAGAGCUAGGUUUGGGGAAAGCAGAGAAGAAAGCAAGAUGCUCCCCUUUGGGAAUAAUGUUAAAAUAUUUACGGCAGCAGGAAGCAUCGUAAAAACAGAGAUGGGCCUCCCCAAAGCAGGUGCUCUGGGAACAAGUGACCUGCAGAUGCUGAACAUCCGAAAAAUCUGAGAGAGAUGAGAAAGCUCCGAUCACAAGGCAAUGGGGAGAAAAGCAUCUCUCCAGGAGCUGACUGAAGGAUCUGUACUACCCCGAAAGAUUUAUUAGGGCGUGGAGGCCUGCUGUUGUGAGGAAGGAAAUGGGUUGCAAGUUUUAAUUAGUUGGGGUUUUGAUAAGUGGCAGAUCUCGGAAGCGGUGAAAUGCCAAGCAAUGGGCCUGAGAGGGCAGGUCCAGAGAAGCAGUGACAGGGUGGGCAAUUCGCUCUGGCAGCAACAUAUGAGCUUGAAGCGAGGCCAGGGCUGAACAGGGGCCCGCAGGCGUGGCUGAGAAAUAACCAGUGGGGCCCCCGUGCCUGUUCGUCGUAGGCCACAGCCAUCUGCUCCGGCUGCUGCCCGCUCUGUCCCAUUCUCUCCCUGCUUUACCAUCUGCAGUUACGGCCACCCUGGCUGGUGGGACGAAGGCGCCUUUAGUGCCCUUCUGUUCCUCUGGCUUAGAACAUGCUGCCACCUUGGUCCAGGCCUCCUGGCAGAGAGCUGGCUGCCAGGCUCGGCCAGCAGGAUGAGGGCAGCUGCUCCCCAGGGCUGGUCGCGGGCUUGCAUUCUUCCUUCCACAGCCUUCUCUGAGCACCUCCGAGGCGUCAAGGACUGUGCUAGAUGCUGAGACAACAAGCAAACCUUUCUCCCUGGGUUCAAGGAGGAGGCAGGUAAGAAAACAGGCAGGGAUGAGACCGUGGGUUAAGAACUGUGAAUGAAGGGAGCAGAAAGGGGUCUGCGGGGGUGGUGAUCAGGAAAGGCUUGCCCCAGGAGCCAGAUGAACUCAUGAAGGCUACAGUUACAGGGUGGAUUCACCUGCAGACUUGGGGGAGCUGGCUGGGUGCUAUGUACCCAUCCUUCCUUUCUAUCCAUAAUUGAUAGUGUCACACCCUUUUAAUUUUUUUAAUCGUAAGAGAAAAAAAACCAGGUAAGGAGGUGGUUGGUUCAGGAAGGGGCCACGAGUGACUUCAGGCACAUGUUCUGGGGUCAGUGAGCAAGUCCAAGCUAGAAGGGCACCACAUUCCUGCGCUGCUGGGAUGCGGCCCAGACUUCUCCAUCAGUGCCCUUGACCCCCUGAGUUUGGGGCUGCUCAGGACAGAGCACCUCAGCCUUUGCUCUCUGCCUGUCCCUGGCACAAGGGGCAGGAGGAGGGCCACACAACUGGAGAAUUUCCUCAGCUGCCUGAUUCCUAGGCGUCUCAAACCGGCUGGCAAGUUUUUCAGGCUCAGCUAACUAUGGCUGUGGUACCCAAAGGUGAUUUCUCUCCCUUGAGACAUGCCUCGCUCCGGCUCCGAGGCAGGCAGGCUCAUGGACACAUCAUCUCUGGGGGCAUGGAGGCUGCUGAGGGACCGCUACGGCGGUUAGGCUUAGGAGCUGGGCACAGCUGGCUUCCAAUCUGGGUUUCUGCCAGGCAAACAUGCACACAAUGUUUAGGGCAGCACUAUUCACAGUCAUCAAAAAGUGAACAUGUCUAUCAACUGAGGCAUGACAAACAAAAUACGUACUAUCCAUGCAAAGGAGUCUUUUUCUUUUUUUUAACCCCCUUUUUAUGGUCGCACUGGCAGCAUUGGAAGCUCCCAGGCUAGGAGUCAAAUCGGAGCUGCAGCUGCUGGCCUAGGC
ensembl:lncRNA